UACGGAGGGUGCGAGCGUUGUCCGGAAUCAUUGGGCGUAAAGGGCGCGUAGGUGGCGGGACAAGCGUGCGGUGAAAGCUUGGGGCUCAACCCCGAGUCGGCCGUGCGAACUGUCUUGCUUGAGCACUGUAGAGGCAGGCGGAAUUCCGGGUGUAGCGGUGGAAUGCGUAGAGAUCCGGAAGAACACCGGUGGCGAAGGCGGCCUGCUGGGCAGUAGCUGACACUGUGGCGCGACAGCGUGGGGAGCGAACAGG
rnacentral:rRNA from 1 species